rnacentral:rRNA from 1 species
UACAGAGACCUCAAGCGUUAUCCGGAAUCAUUGGGCGUAAAGCGUACCGAUAGGUGGUUAAGAAAGUCAGAUGUGAAAUCUCCGAGCUCAACUCGGAAUCUGUCAUUUGAAACUUCUUGACUAGAGGGGCAAAGAGGAAGCUAGAACUAACGGUGUAGGGGUAAUAUCCGUUGAUAUCGUUAGGAAUACCAAUAGCGAAGGCAGGCUUCUGGGUGCCACCUGACACUGCUAGGACGAAAGCGUGGGGAGCAAAAAGG